CAUACACCUCAUGUCUACCUUGAUUGUUAUGCAUCUAAUCCUUAGUCAUUUAGUAGCGAAAACAACAACCAAAAUGAAUAAAUGAAUAACCAAACAAGUGCAAGACUCUUUCUCCUUAAAAUUCUCAGACUGGAAGAUUGUAACAAGUCUAAUAAAGUAUGGUACGCAUUAUGGAACCUUGCUCCAAGGGUUGGAAUAAGCCACUUACUACACAACACAUCUUUCAAUUCAAAACUUGGAUGCUGAUCACACUGGCUUAUGUGUUUUUUUUUUUGACAAAAGCCAUACGGCAAAUUCAUUGAUACUCAAGUUAGAAUGACACUGAUACAUGCCCUCCCUUACCAAACGUUUAGACAAGUUAAGGACUUGGCAUGCUAGCACCACUAAUUACAAAAUUUCGUUCACUUAUUUCUAAACAAAGAAAUAUUGAAGUACUAAUACUUAGAAAAAUCACACAUCCUAAAAAAGGAUUUACGGUAAAUAAACUAGCUAAAUACUUUGAAUUGGGCUAAAGAAAAACCCUAGCCCAACUUAGAACCCAAAACAGCCGCUAGAUAAGAGUCCAUCUCAAGGCCCAUUCGGAAAAGGCUCACCCGCUGAUCCAACGCCCUUGCACCGUACAGUAUCGUCGAAGCUCCGUCCUGACUUCGAUCUUUGUCAUCCAUACUGACUUAUGUUUAGUAUGUAUGAUACAUUAAAUUCUUUCGAAUUGAAAACCAAGCAAGAGGGAGUGGUGCAAUGGGUAGAAAAUGGUUUGGCAUAUUUAACAUGGUCAACAAUAAUUAAAACGGGAAAAACAUUUGCAUGAAGGAAUAUCACUAGUAUCUCAACUUUAGCUCCUUAUAAACUUUGGUAUAUCAAUUUUUAGAAAUAUUAAAUUGGUACUCCAAGUUUGGAUUGGUACCUAUAGUCAUUAAGCCAGUAACGGCGUCUGUUGCGUGACAUAUUUUCAAGGGUGCUUUUUUCCUCGCGCUUUUUAUCUUCACCAAAGUUUAUACUCUUUUUGCAAGAUUUCUGAUCCAACUCCAUUCUGUAGGGGUGGGCAAUUUGCAUCAAAUAUGCGGUUACUGACUCGAACCGCACCGAAAAAUAAGAUUCGGUAACCGCACCGAACUAAAACGGUGUCGUUUUAUGGUCACACCUCACCGAACCAUAUUAAAACGGUUCGGUUACGGUUUCGAGUUAUAAACCACCCGAUUUAAACUGAACCGCAUCGAAUUACAUUUUUCUUAUAUUUUAUUUUUCUGUUGAUAAUUGUUUUGGUUCAUAACAUAUAAAAAAUUCACUUAUGUUUAAGUUUGCAGACGCAAAUUGCUAUAUUUAAAUGAUAGUUGAUAUAUAUGUGUGUUUGUUAAGUAAUCAAAUAUGAUAUUUUAGUUAGUUACUUGAUAUGGAUGAUAUUUGUAGAUUAAUGUGGACUAAAUACAUUAAUAUGCCUUACCGACAUUGUUAAGUAAAAAUAAGCAUAACUUUUGGUAACCAUUUCUUGCUUAAAUAAAUAAAUUGGUUUCAUAGCGAAACCGACCCGCACUGCACAGAAAAAUGGUGUAACCGAAAUAAUCGGUUCAACCCUUUUGAAAUGUGAUUUCGGUUUGAAAUAUUGUAAAACCGAAAAAAGUGGUUCGGUUAUGGUUUGAGCCUUAAGCCGAUCCGAACCAAACCACGCCCACCCCUACCAUUCUGUUUGUUGUUGUCGAGAAAAAACUCCAUUCCGUUUGUUUCUUCUGCCAAAUGAUUUCAUAAAAGCUGAAUAGAAAACCUGACAUAAAUGAUGGUCGGAGAGCAAGAUAUUGUAGAAACAAACAAUAGUUACACACCCAGUGUCACAUCCCGGGACCCGUUCCGCCGUAACACGAUAUUGUCCGCUUUGGGCCCCCGGCCCUCACGGUUUUGUUUCCGGCAGCUCAGGAGCAACUUCCCAGUAGGUCACCCAUCCUGGGAUUGCUCUCGCAUCGACAUGCUUAACCUCGGAGUACCCAUCCCCUCCGAAGCCGCUGAGCCACCAAAAAGCCUCGUAUUAGGUUGGUGGGUGGGCAUGUACAUAUACAGCACACUAACCCCUCUCCGUUUNNNNNNNNNNNNNNNNNNNNGUGGGAUAUUACAAUCCACCCCCCUUGGGAGUCCGACGCCCUCGUCGGCACACUCGCACCACACGGCAGAGUGGCUCUGAUACCAUUUGUCACAUCCCGGGACCCGCUCCGUCGUAACACGAUAUUGUCCGCUUUGGGCCCCCGGCCCUCACGGUUUUGUUUCCGGCAGCUCAGGAGCAACUUCCCAGUAGGUCACCCAUCCUGGGAUUGCUCUCGCAUCGACAUGCUUAACCUCGGAGUACCCAUCCCCUCCGAAGCCGCUGAGCCACCAAAAGGCCUCGUAUUAGGUUGGUGGUGGACAUGUACAUAUACAGCACAUAACCCCUCUCCGUUUGGCCGAUGUGGGAUAUUACACCCAGAUUAUAGAAUAAGACAGAAAAUUACUACAAAAUGAGAGAGAGAGAGAGAGAGAGAGAGAGAGAGAGAGAGAGAGAGAGAGAUG
rnacentral:lncRNA from 1 species